rnacentral:rRNA from 1 species
UAGGGAAUCUUCGGCAAUGGGGGGAACCCUGACCGAGCAACGCCGCGUGAGUGAAGAAGGUUUUCGGAUCGUAAAGCUCUGUUGUUAAGGAAGAACGAGUGUGAGAAUGGAAAGUUCAUACUGUGACGGUACUUAACCAGAAAGGGACGGCUAACUACGUGCCAGCAGCCGCGGUAAUACGUAGGUCCCGAGCGUUGUCCGGAUUUAUUGGGCGUAAAGCGAGCGCAGGCGGUUAGAAAAGUCUGAAGUGAAAGGCAGUGGCUCAACCAUUGUAGGCUUUGGAAACUGUUUAACUUGAGCGCAGAAGGGGAGAGUGGAAUUCCAUGUGUAGCGGUGAAAUGCGUAGAUAUAUGGAGGAACACCGGUGGCGAAAGCGGCUCUCUGGUCUGUAACUGACGCUGAGGCUCGAAAGCGUGGGGAGCGAACAGG